UACGGAGGAUCCAAGCGUUUAUCCGGAAUUACUGGGCGUAAAGAGUUGCGUAGGCGGUACCGUAAGCGGGCAGUGAAAGCGUGUGGCUCAACCAUACUCACAUUGUGCGAACUGCGGAACUAGAGGAUGAGAGAGGUCACUGGAAUUCCCUGUGUAGGAGUGAAAUCCGUAGAUAUAGGGAGGAACACCGAUGGCGUAGGCAGGUGACUGGCUCAUUCCUGACGCUCAGGCACGAAAGCGUGGGGAGCAAACGGG
rnacentral:rRNA from 1 species